rnacentral:rRNA from 1 species
GCUGGCGGCGUGCUUAACACAUGCAAGUCGAACGAGAAAGGCCCCUUCGGGGGACGAGUAGAGUGGCGCACGGGUGAGUAACGCGUAGGUAAUCUACCCUUAUGACUGGGAUAACAUUGGGAAACUGGUGCUAAUACCGGAUACACUUCUUUACUGCGGGGUAAAGGAGGAAAGGUGGCCUCUUGGUCAAAGCUACCGUAUAGGGAUGAGCCUGCGUACCAUUAGCUAGUAGGCGGGGUAACGGCCCACCUAGGCAACGAUGGUUAGCGGGUCUGAGAGGAUGAUCCGCCACACUGGAACUGGAACACGGACCAGACUCCUACGGGAGGCAGCAGUGAGGAAUAUUGCGCAAUGGGGGAAACCCUGACGCAGCGACGCCGCGUGAGUGAGGAAGGUCUUCGGAUCGUAAAGCUCUGUCAGAAGGGAAGAAGUGUUAUAUGGUUAAUACCCAUGUAAUUUGACGGUACCUUCAGAGGAAGCACCGGCUAACUCCGUGCCAGCAGCCGCGGUAAUACGGAGGGUGCUAGCGUUGUUCGGAAUUACUGGGCGUAAAGGGCGCGUAGGCGGCUGGAUAAGUCAGAUGUGAAAGUCCACGGCUCAACUGUGGAAGUGCAUUUG